GAUGAACGCUGGCGGCGUGCCUAAUACAUGCAAGUCGAACGGACAGACGAGGAGCUUGCUCCUCUGACGUUAGCGGCGGACGGGGGAGUAACACGUGAAUAACCUACCUAUAAGACUCGGCUAAGUUCGGGAACCCGGAGCCAAUACCGGAUAAUCUAUUGAACCGCAUGGUUCAAUAGUGAAAGGCGGAUUUGCUGUUACUUGUAGAUGGAUCCGCGCCGCAUUAGCUAGUAGGUAAGGUAAUGGCUUACCAAGGCAACGACGCGUAGCCGACGUGCGAGGGUGAUGGUGCACAGUGGAACUGAGACACGGUCCAGACUCCUACGGGAGGCAGCAGUAGGGAAUCUUCCGAAAUGGGAGAAAGCCUGACGGAGCAGCGCCGCGUGAGUGAUGAAGGUCUUCGGAUCGUAAAACUCUGUUAUUAGGGAAGAACAGAUGUGUAAGUAAUUAGGCACGUCUUGACGGUAGCUAAUCAGAAAGCAACGGCUAACUACGUG
rnacentral:rRNA from 1 species